CUCAGAAACUUAAAUGAAUUGACGGGGCCGCACAAGCGGAGGAGCAUGUGGUUAAUUCGAUGAUACGCGAGGAACCUUACCUGGGCUCGGACGUAAGAUGACUGUAGGUGAAAGCUUACAUCUCUUCGGAGCAUUUUACGAGGUGCUGCAUGGUUGUCGUCAGCUCGUGCCGUGAGGUGUCGGGUUAAGUCCCAUAACGAGCGCAACCCCUACCUUUAGUUGCCAUCAGGUUAAGCUGGGGACUCUAAAGGAACUGCCUACGCAAGUAGUGAGGAAGGCGGGGAUGACGUCAAAUCAGCACGGCCCUUACGUCCAGGGCUACACACGUGCUACAAUGGCCGAUACAGAGGGCAGCUACCUGGUGACAGGAUGCAAAUCUCCAAAGUCGGUCUCAGUUCGGAUCGGAGUCUGCAACCCGACUCCGUGAAGUUGGAUUCGCUAGUAAUCGCGCAUCAGCCAUGGCGCGGUGAAUACGUUCCCGGGCCUU
rnacentral:rRNA from 1 species